UACGUAGGGUGCGAGCGUUAAUCGGAAUUACGGGGCGUAAAGCGUGCGCAGGCGGUUCGUCGUGUCCGAUGUGAAAGCCCCGGGCUCAACCUGGGAAUGGCAUUGGAAACUGGCGGACUCGAGUGUGGCAGAGGGGGGUGGAAUUCCGCGUGUAGCAGUGAAAUGCGUAGAGAUGUGGAGGAACACCAGUGGCGAAGGCGACUCUUUGGUCUGUAACUGACGCUGAGGCGCGAAAGCGUGGGGAGCAAACAGG
rnacentral:rRNA from 1 species